rnacentral:lncRNA from 1 species
AUCUUAUCAGCUUCCCAGUUAGUCUGAGACAUGGUUGUGGAGCGAGUAAAGGGUGAGUUGAAUGAGUUGGUGUUGUAACGGAAGAGUGGAUUUUCUUGCUAUAGCUGCGACUGAAGACUGAAGAAUGAAGAGAGAGAGAGAGAGAGAGAGAGAGAGAUGAAUGAGGUAAGUAAAAGAAGAAAUGAAGGAGAAGAAGAAAAUCCAAGGGAUGAACAGAAGCAACAACGUCAUUGGAUAUAAG